rnacentral:lncRNA from 1 species
CCCAGCUUCGUAAGCCAGGGAGUGGCUUGGCUACCCUUGUUGCUAGCACCCUUCAUCUUGAAAUUCUAUUUUAAGUGGCUUCUGGAAGGGAGGAAGUAACCUCUCACCAUAAAUAAGUUACAGAAGAUCCUAUUCUCUUCUGCCCUUUCUCCCCAGAUCUAGCUUCCAUGUUGUAAAAAAGCCAAGAGAGGUCCACAUGGAAAACAACCAAGGCCUCCAGCCCUCAGUCCCAGCUAAGCAACCAGUAUUAAACAGUACCAAAUUGCCAGCCCCUAGUCAAGCUGCCUCAGCUGAUGCCACAUGGAGCAAGAAAUACAUAAUGGAUACAUGGUCCUCUUGCAAUCAUCAGGGGAGACACCAAUAAGAAGCCAAGGAAGACAGAUAAAAAGAUGGAAAGUGCCUGGAUCCUCGACACUGUUGUGCUAAUGACUACUCUCAAACUGAAGAGCUUGAGGCAAGCAUCCGGGUGCAGGUGGU